GUUCUUCUCCUUCUCCAGCUUCCCUCGACUUCACUCUCACACCACAAACUCUCUUAGAACACUCCCCUCCCCCACCCCCUCUCUAAAAAAUGAAUAUUAGGGUUUUGAAAUAAGAAAAUCAAAAUCUCCAUUAAUGGCUUCUUCUUUACCUCUACCAGAGCUCAUCUUUCUCUCUCCAAAAACCAGAACUCCAAAACAUCACCACCACCUGCUUUCUCUCUCCAGACACUCUUUCUCUAAACUUAACGUUUCUGGUAAAAAAAAUAAAUUCAACCUUCCUCUUCGAACUCCAGUAACUCGAGCUGUGAAGGAGGAUACUGCUGUGAUCGAGGAGAGAGAGCGAGAAAUUUUGAAGGAACUGAAUGGAAAUGGAAACGGAAGAGUGAAUGGAUCAGUGGAGAGGUAUGUAAAUGGUGGAUUGGUGAGUGUGGAAGAGGGAGAGAGUAGUAGUAAUGAGAGUUUGGUGAAGUAUGUGAAUGGAAAUGGUGCUGCAGCCGUGGAGACAGCAGAGAUUUUGGUGGAGGAGAAGAAGGAAGGGUCGAAGGAGGAAGGAAGGCAGAAGAGGAUAGAGGAAAUCGGGAAAGAAGAUGCUUGGUUUAAGCGUGCUGGUCAACAACAGAUUGAGGUUUCUGUUGCACCUGGUGGGAGAUGGAGUAGAUUCAAGACCUAUUCAACGAUACAAAGGACUUUGGAAAUAUGGGGAUCUGUUUUAACAUUUAUCUUCAAGGCUUGGUUGAACAACCAGAAAUUCUCUUAUCGAGGAGGAAUGACGGAGGAGAAAAAAAUGGUGAGGAGGAAGGCCCUUGCCAAGUGGUUAAAGGAAAGCAUAUUAAGAUUAGGUCCAACAUUCAUAAAAAUUGGCCAGCAGUUCUCCACAAGAGUGGACAUUCUUGCUCAAGAAUAUGUUGAUCAAUUGUCUGAACUUCAGGAUCAAGUUCCUCCAUUUCCAUCAGAGACUGCUGUUUCUAUAGUUGAGGAAGAGCUUGGAGCUCCAGUGGGUGAUAUCUUUGAUCGGUUUGACUACGAACCCAUAGCUGCUGCAAGUCUUGGCCAAGUUCACCGUGCAAGAUUGAAAGGACAGGAAGUUGUGAUUAAAGUCCAAAGACCCGGUCUCAAGGAUCUUUUUGAUAUUGACCUAAAAAACCUGAGGGUAAUAGCUGAAUAUCUUCAAAAGGUUGACCCAAAGUCAGAUGGUGCAAAGAGGGACUGGGUUGCAAUAUAUGAUGAAUGUGCGAACGUCUUGUACCAGGAGAUUGAUUAUACUAUGGAAGCCUCUAAUGCAGAACUGUUUGCCAGUAAUUUCAAAGAGAUGGAGUAUGUUAAAGUCCCAGCAAUAUAUUGGGAAUACACCACACCGCAGGUUCUGACAAUGGAAUAUGUCCCAGGGAUCAAAAUAAACAAAAUUCAAGCAUUAGAUCAACUGGGUGUUGAUCGCAAAAGAUUGGGCAGAUAUGCGGUCGAAUCUUAUUUGGAACAAAUUCUAUCUCAUGGAUUCUUCCAUGCCGACCCUCAUCCAGGAAAUAUUGCUGUUGAUGAUGUCAAUGGGGGAAGGUUGAUCUUUUAUGAUUUUGGAAUGAUGGGAAGUAUCAGUCCAAACAUUCGAGAAGGGUUGCUGGAAGCAUUCUAUGGAAUUUAUGAAAAGGAUCCGGAUAAGGUCCUUGAGGCAAUGAUCCAAAUGGGUGUUCUUGUGCCUACUGGAGACAUGACAGCUGUCAGACGAACUGCACUAUUCUUUCUCAAUAGUUUCGAAGAGCGUCUUGCUGCUCAAAGAAGAGAGGGAGAAAUAGAAACAGCACAACUCGGCUUUAAAAAGCCAUUGAGCAAGGAUGAAAAAAUAGAGAAAAAGAAGCAACGUCUGGCUGCAAUAGGGGAAGAUUUAUUAUCCAUUGCAGCAGAUCAACCUUUCCGUUUUCCAGCCACUUUCACAUUUGUUGUGAGAGCAUUUUCAGUAUUGGAUGGCAUUGGGAAAGGCCUUGACCCUCGGUUUGAUAUUACGGAGAUUGCAAAACCCUAUGCACUUGAGCUGCUAAAGUUUCGCGAAGCUGGAGUUGAAGUUCUCUUGAAGGACUUCAGAAAAAGGUGGGACAGGCAGUCUCGUGCAAUCUACAACUUAUUUAGACAGGCUGAUAGAGUUCAAAAGCUUGCUGAUACUAUCCAACGAUUGGAGCAAGGUGAUUUGAAGCUCCGAGUUCGAACCCUGGAGGCUGAGAGGGCAUUCCAGCGUGUUGCAGCUGUCCAGAAGAUAGUAGGGAGUGCUGUAGCUGUUGGAAGUCUAGUAAACCUUGCAACUAUUUUAUAUCUCAAUUCCAUUCGAGUACCAGCCAUUGCGGCAUCCAUCUUUUGUGCAUUCUUCAGUUUCCAAGUCCUCUUUGGCCUUAUAAAGGUGAAAAAGUUAGAUCAACAGGAAAGGUUGAUAACAGGAACUGCUUAACUCGAUGAAACAGCCUGAACAGACCAUUGAUGGUACAUGACCCAAGUGUUUUAACAAGUGAGAUCAGCAACUUUGCGUAUACUGUUCUGUAAUAAAGAAUCAAAUGCCUUGUGGAAUUACCAUAAAACAGUGAUAGUCAAGUGACUUGUGAGGGAUUAUCUACAAUGAGCAGUGUGCUUCUUAAUGAUAUUCCCCACAAACAUUCAGAGCUGCAAGAGAGAUUUAGAGUAGAGAUUCGGCUCAUUUGAAACUCUUGAUUGCAAGUUUCCGCAUCUCAAAGAUGGAGCUUGAUGAACAUGUUAUUUGAUGUUCUUAGUUCCUAGUUCAUGGAUGAGCCAAUACCUCCAGUGUGGAGAUUUGUGAUGAAGACAUCAAGGCGGAAUACCUGUGCUGUGUUUGUCCGGAAGUUGGCCAAGAAUGUGUCUUCUUCAUUCUGAAUUUUUAUCAUGCCGCCAACAAAGCCACGUUGCUGUAAGUUUUCGUCCCAUUAGAAGCAUCCAGUUUAAGCCCUGAUGGUGAGGGAUUAGGAAGGGAUUUGCGUCUUAGCUAUACCUACAAUCAAUGUCUGCGAGUAGGUAAGCAUUCUGUCAUAAUACCACGAGUUGGCUUGUCCAUAAACCGUGUAUAAUACUAUAAUAUAAUGUAAUAAUUUUUGUUAAGUAUGAGUUAUAUAAUGAGUUCUGUUUGCGAUCCAAA